CUGAAACAGAAAGCAAAGGAGUGGGAGCUCAAGCACACCUAGCAGGAGACCAGAAAUGAUCCACGUGGUGGCUAAGGAGGUAGAUACACCUGUGUAUGUUCACUGCCCUCUACACUGGGUUUAUGCAGUUUAGGUCUGGAAGUUGUGUCAACGUAAAAGAAAAUGAAAGCGUCUGUUUCUGCAUAUAAUUAUUCAGUGCUGCUGAUAAAGUUGGAGUGUGUUGUGAAAUUCCAAGCAACUUUGCGGACAAUAAGAUGCAGCCUGGUUUGAACAUUUCACCUGCACAGGGAGGCACCAUGACCUUGAUUUCCUUUUCUGGCGUGCCAGUCCCUGUGGAACCUGGAAACAGUGCCUGGAGUUGUUACUGGAGAUACUGUUGGCUGGAGGACAUGAGGUUUUUAAAUCAGGUCAGCUGCACACCUGCCCGGCACAC